CAGCAGCCACGGUAAUACGGAGGGCGCGAGCGUUACCCGGAUUUACUGGGCGUAAAGGGCGUGUAGGCGGCCUGGGGCGUCCCAUGUGAAAGGCCACGGCUCAACCGUGGAGGAGCGUGGGAUACGCUCAGGCUAGAGGGUGGGAGAGGGUGGUGGAAUUCCCGGAGUAGCGGUGAAAUGCGCAGAUACCGGGAGGAACGCCGAUGGCGAAGGCAGCCACCUGGUCCACUUCUGACGCUGAGGCGCGAAAGCGUGGGGAGCAAACCGGAUUAGAUACCCCCGUAGUCCCUGUCUCUUAUAC
rnacentral:rRNA from 1 species